UUAAAGUGGUACGCGAGCUGGGUUUAGAACGUCGUGAGACAGUUCGGUCCCUAUCUGCCGUGGGCGCUGGAGAACUGAGGGGGGCUGCUCCUAGUACGAGAGGACCGGAGUGGACGCAUCACUGGUGUUCGGGUUGUCAUGCCAAUGGCACUGCCCGGUAGCUAAAUGCGGAAGAGAUAAGUGCUGAAAGCAUCUAAGCACGAAACUUGCCCCGAGAUGAGUUCUCCCUGACCCUUUAAGGGUCCUGAAGGAACGUUGAAGACGACGACGUUGAUAGGCCGGGUGUGUAAGCGCAGCGAUGCGUUGAGCUAACCGGUACUAAUGAACCGUGAGGCUUAACCUUACAACGCCGAAGGUGUUU
rnacentral:rRNA from 1 species